UGCAGAGGGAGGCAGCGAGGGAGGCCUGGGGGCUCUCGGGUUCCGUGGCAGUGGGCUUGUCCUGGCCUGCAGGCUCAGAUGGAGGCCAAUGUUCCCUCUCUUUCUUGUACACAGGCCCAGGCUGUGACUCUGACCGUGGCCCAGGCCUUCCAGAUGGCACUGGAUCUCUGGGAAGCAGCUCAUGCAGGCUCUAGGCAGGAACAGCCCCUUCACCAUUCCUGUGCCCUGGAGAGCAGUGAGCCCGGCAGACCAAGUGAGCCAGCCCCCCCGGGGAGCCCUCCCUUCAGGCACCACUUUGGGGAGGAGGAAGAGGAGGAGGAAGAUGAUAAUGUUGGUGAAACCGUAACUGGCAGCACAGAGGAGCUGGGGCGGGGAGCCCGCAGCCCAGCAGAGUCGGUGCCUCUUGCGCCCAGAGCGAGCUCUCCUACAGCCCAGCUGCUGUGCUACCGCCUGGGGCAACCCCCGGACAGCUGGAAGGGGCCGGGAGGGGUUGGGGACCUCCCUGCCGCUGGCCCCAAGACGCCCCUGGGCUGAGCCAAACCUCUGCAGCAACGGACCAGCCACUCAGGAUUCACCCUGUGCCUGCCCCGGUCCCCAGCACAGCCCACCGGGGCUGCUGGCACCGCUGCCGGGCCCUGCACCGGCUGGACACCCGCCCCCCGCUCUGCCUGCAUGAACAGCUGCCCCGCACCCCGGGCAGCACCUCUGACCCGCCUUGCCCGUGGCUCCUGCCUUGCUCCUGGGGGUGGCAGCUGGGGAGCAGCGGAGGCCGAGCAGCCCCCCAGAGUCGGUGGAGGGCUCCUUGGCACACACGACUCUCGGGGAGCAACAGCUCUGGGCUUGAGGGAGGGAGUGAGGAAGCCUUGCCCCUGCUGUUCAGCCCCAUGCCCUUUCACGAGUGAAAUGAGCUGGUUUUUAAAGGAAAGCUCGGCCUUUAUAGGGAAAUAAAUGGAGGUUUUUUUACUGUUGUCA
rnacentral:lncRNA from 1 species